rnacentral:rRNA from 1 species
UAGUACUACACUGCGUGAGCGGACGAAAACAACAACACCUAAAAUGUGGAAUAUAGCAUAUAGUCGACAAGAGAAAUCUACGAAAAACAAACAAAACUUUCAACAACGGAUCUCUUGGUUCUCGCAUCGAUGAAGAGCGCAGCGAAAUGCGAUACCUAGUGUGAAUUGCAGCCAUCGUGAAUCAUCGAGUUCUUGAACGCACAUUGCGCCCCUCGGCAUUCCGGGGGGCAUGCCUGUUUGAGCGUCGUUUCCAUCUUGCGCGUGCGCAGAGUUGGGGGAGCGGAGCGGACGACGUGUAAAGAGCGUCGGAGCUGCGACUCGCCUGAAAGGGAGCGAAGCUGGCCGAGCGAACUAGACUUUUUUUCAGGGACGCUUGGCGGCCGAGAGCGAGUGUUGCGAGACAACAAAAAGCUCGACCUCAAAUCAGGUAGGAAUACCCGCUGAACUUAAGCAUAUCA